GAUUGAUUCUGGUAACCUUGAGUGCGGAUGAGGUGGAUGGAAUUCGUGGUGUAGCGGUGAAAUGCUUAGAUAUCACGAAAAACUCCGAUUGCGAAGGCAGUCCACUGGGCCGCAACUGACGCUGAAGCUCGAAAGUGCGGGUAUCAAACAGGAUUAGAUACCCUGGUAGUCCGCACCGUAAACGAUGGAUACUCGCUGCCGGCGAUACACAGUCGGUGGCUUAGUGAAAACGUUAAGUAUCCCACCUGGGGAGUACGCCGGCAACGGUGAAACUCAAAGGAAUUGACGGGGGCCCGCACAAGCGGAGGAACAUGUGGUUUAAUUCGAUGAUACGCGAGGAACCUUACCCGGGCUUGAACUAUGGUGGACCGACUCAGAGAUGGGUUUUCCCUUCGGGGCCGCCAUGGAGGUGCUGUAUGGUUGUCGUCAGCUCGUGCCGUGAGGUGUCGGCUUAAGUGCCAUAACGAGCGCAACCCUUUCCGUUAGUUGCCAUCAGGUAAUGCUGGGGACUCUAUCGGUACUGCCAUCGUAAGAUGUGAGGAAGGUGGGGAUGACGUCAAAUCAGCACGGCCCUUACGUCCGGGGCUACACACGUGUUACAAUGGGGGGUACAGAGGGCCGCCACCUGGUGACAGAAGCCAAUCCCGAAAACCCUCUCAGUUCGGACUGGUAGUCUGCAACCCGACUCACGAAGCUGGAUUCGCUAGUAAUCGCGCAUCAGCCAUGGCGCGGUGAUUACGUUCCCGGGUCCUUGUACACAA
rnacentral:rRNA from 1 species